GGAUUAGAUACCCUGGUAGUCCACGCCGUAAACGAUGUCUACUAGCAGCUCGGUUCUUAAUGAACGGUUUUGCGCAGCUAACGCGUUAAGUAGACCGCCUGGGGAGUACGGCCGCAAGGUUAAAACUCAAAUGAAUUGACGGGGGCCCGCACAAGCGGUGGAGCAUGUGGUUUAAUUCGAUGCAACGCGAAGAACCUUACCAUCCCUUGACAUCCAGAGAACUUUCUAGAGAUAGAUUGGUGCCUUCGGGAACUCUGAGACAGGUGCUGCAUGGCUGUCGUCAGCUCGUGCUG
rnacentral:rRNA from 1 species